GCCAGAUUGGCUCAAUGGAUAGAGCGUCUGCCUGCAGACUGGAGGGUCCCAGGUUCAAUUCCUGGUCAGGGCA
rfam:Myotis lucifugus cont2.43123, whole genome shotgun sequence.